rnacentral:rRNA from 1 species
UGGCUCAGAUUGAACGCUGGCGGCAGGCCUAACACAUGCAAGUCGAACGGUAACAGGAAGCAGCUUGCUGCUUCGCUGACGAGUGGCGGACGGGUGAGUAAUGUCUGGGAAACUGCCUGAUGGAGGGGGAUAACUACUGGAAACGGUGGCUAAUACCGCAUAACGUCGCAAGACCAAAGAGGGGGACCUUCGGGCCUCUUGCCAUCAGAUGUGCCCAGAUGGGAUUAGCUUGUUGGUGAGGUAACGGCUCACCAAGGCGACGAUCCCUAGCUGGUCUGAGAGGAUGACCAGCCACACUGGAACUGAGACACGGUCCAGACUCCUACGGGAGGCAGCAGUGGGGAAUAUUGCACAAUGGGCGCAAGCCUGAUGCAGCCAUGCCGCGUGUAUGAAGAAGGCCUUCGGGUUGUAAAGUACUUUCAGCGGGGAGGAAGGUGUUGCGGUUAAUAACCGCAGCAAUUGACGUUACCCGCAGAAGAAGCACCGGCUAACUCCGUGCCAGCAGCCGCGGUAAUACGGAGGGUGCAAGCGUUAAUCGGAAUUACUGGGCGUAAAGCGCACGCAGGCGGUCUGUCAAGUCGGAUGUGAAAUCCCCGGGCUCAACCUGGGAACUGCAUUCGAAACUGGCAGGCUUGAGUCUUGUAGAGGGGGGUAGAAUUCCAGGUGUAGCGGUGAAAUGCGUAGAGAUCUGGAGGAAUACCGGUGGCGAAGGCGGCCCCCUGGACAAAGACUGACGCUCAGGUGCGAAAGCGUGGGGAGCAAACAGGAUUAGAUACCCUGGUAGUCCACGCCGUAAACGAUGUCUACUUGGAGGUUGUGCCCUUGAGGCGUGGCUUCCGGAGCUAACGCGUUAAGUAGACCGCCUGGGGAGUACGGCCGCAAGGUUAAAACUCAAAUGAAUUGACGGGGGCCCGCACAAGCGGUGGAGCAUGUGGUUUAAUUCGAUGCAACGCGAAGAACC